AAACCAUGAUGCGGGCAAUCUCUCUGAUAUCCUAUGAAUCUGAUCCAAGCGGCUUUAAAUGCUUCAGCUGCUUCUUGAGAGAAGGUAGAGAUCUUCAUUCUCAGCUC
rnacentral:snoRNA from 2 species